rnacentral:rRNA from 1 species
CAGCCGCCACGGUAAUACGAAGGGGGCUAGCGUUGCUCGGAAUGACUGGGCGUAAAGGGCGCGUAGGCGGAUUGUUUAGUUAGGCGUGAAAUUCCUGGGCUUAACCUGGGGACUGCGCUUAAUACAGGCAGUCUAGAGUGAGGAAGAGGGUUGUGGAAUUCCCAGUGUAGAGGUGAAAUUCGUAGAUAUUGGGAAGAACACCGGUGGCGAAGGCGGCAACCUGGUCCUUGACUGACGCUGAGGCGCGAAAGCGUGGGGAGCAAACAGGAUUAGAUACCCCGGUAGUCCCUGUCUCUUAUAC